UCCGAUGCUAUUUCUAGAGAUAGAAGUUACUUCGGUACAUCGGUGACAGGUGGUGCAUGGUUGUCGUCAGCUCGUGUCGUGAGAUGUUGGGUUAAGUCCCGCAACGAGCGCGACCCCUAUUGUUAGUUGCCAUCAUUCAGUUGGGCACUCUAGCGAGACUGCCGGUAAUAAACCGGAGGAAGUGGGGAUGACGUCAAAUCAUCAUACCCCUUAUGACCUGGGCUACACACGUGCUACAAUGGUUGGUACAACGAGUUGCGAGUCGGUGACGGCGAGCUAAUCUCUUAAAGCCAAUCUCAGUUCGGAUUGUAGGCUGCAACUCGCCUACAUGAAGUCGGAAUCGCUAGUAAUCGCGGAUCAGCACGCCGCGGUCGAAUACGUUCCCGGGCCUU
rnacentral:rRNA from 1 species